UAGGGAAUCUUCCACAAUGGACGCAAGUCUGAUGGAGCAACGCCGCGUGAGUGAAGAAGGUCUUCGGAUCGUAAAGCUCUGUUGUUGGUGAAGAAGGAUAGAGGCAGUAACUGGUCUUUAUUUGACGGUAAUCAACCAGAAAGUCACGGCUAACUACGUGCCAGCAGCCGCGGUAAUACGUAGGUGGCAAGCGUUGUCCGGAUUUAUUGGGCGUAAAGCGAGCGCAGGCGGAAUGAUAAGUCUGAUGUGAAAGCCCACGGCUCAACCGUGGAACUGCAUCGGAAACUGUCAUUCUUGAGUGCAGAAGAGGAGAGUGGAACUCCACGUGUAGCGGUGGAAUGCGUAGAUAUAUGGAAGAACACCAGUGGCGAAGGCGGCUCUCUGGUCUGCAACUGACGCUGAGGCUCGAAAGCAUGGGUAGCGAACAGGAUUAGAUACCCUGGUAGUCCAUGCCGUAAACGAUGAGCGCUAGGUGUUGGGGACUUUCCGGUCCUCAGUGCCCGCAGCA
rnacentral:rRNA from 1 species